rnacentral:ncRNA from 2 species
CUACAUAUUGUUUUAACAGGUGCUUUUUGUCGAAAAGACGAAAGAGCUUAAUUGGGAAGUCCGGUGCGAAGCCGGCGCGGUCCCGCCACUGUAAGAGGGGAGUAGCGGUUCGAAAGGCCACUGGCUUGAAGCUGGGAAGGCGAACCGGGAACCAUGAUCCUCAAGCCAGGAGACCAGCCUGUUCAUUGACACGACC